rnacentral:rRNA from 1 species
GGGUGAGUAAACUAUAGUUAAUGUACCCCAAAUUUCUGCGAUAGCCACUGGAAACGGUGAUUAAUACUAGAUACACCUUCUUAUCAUAAGGUAAGAAGGGAAAUGUCUUUUCGCUUUGGGAUCAGACUAUAUCCUAUCAGCUAGUUGGUGAGGUAAUGGCUCACCAAGGCAAUGACGGGUAGCGGUUCUGAGAGGAUGAUCCGCCACACUGGUACUGAGACACGGACCAGACUCCUAAUGGAGGCAGCAGUGAGGAAUAUUGCACAAUGGGCGAAAGCCUGAUGCAGCAACGCCGCGUGGAGGAUGACGCAUUUCGGUGUGUAAACUCCUUUUAUAUGUCAAGAAAAUGACGGUAGCAUAUGAAUAAGCACCGGCUAACUCCGUGCCAGCAGCCGCGGUAAUACGGAGGGUGCAAGCGUUACUCGGAAUCACUGGGCGUGAAGGACGCGUAGGCUGUUUAGCAAGUCAGAUGUGAAAUCCAAUGGCUCAACCAUUGAACUGCAUUUGAAACUGCUAGACUAGAGUAUGGGAGGGGGAGAUGGAAUUAGUGGUGUA